rnacentral:rRNA from 1 species
AACGAACGCUGGCGGCAUGCCUAACACAUGCAAGUCGAACGAGACCUUCGGGCCUAGUGGCGCACGGGUGCGUAACGCGUGGGAACCUGCCCUUAGGUUCGGAAUAACUCCCCGAAAGGGGUGCUAAUACCGGAUAAUGUCUUCGGACCAAGGAUUUAUCGCCGUUGGAUGGGCCCGCGUUGGAUUAGCUGGUUGGUAGGGUAAAAGCCUACCAAGGCGACGAUCCAUAGCUGGUCUGAGAGGAUGACCAGCCACACUGGGACUGAGACACGGCCCAGACUCCUACGGGAGGCAGCAGUGGGGAAUAUUGGACAAUGGGGGAAGGCCUGAUCCAGCAAUGCCGCGUGAGUGAUGAAGGCCUUAGGGUUGUAAAGCUCUUUUACCCGGGAUGAUAAUGACAGUACCGGGAGAAUAAGCUCCGGCUAACUCCGUG